UCUACGGGGGGCUGCAGUCAAGAAUCUUCCUCAAUGGGCGAAAGCCUGAAGGAGCAAUGCCGCGUGGUUGAUGAAGCUCUUCGGAGUGUAAAAACCUUUUAUCAGGGACGAAUUUGUGACGGUACCUGAAGAAUAAGUCACUGCUAACUUCGUGCCAGCAGCAGCGGUAAUACGAAGGUGGCAAGCGUUACCCGGAAUUAUUGGGCGUAAAGAGUCCGUAGAUGGUCUAAAAAGUUCUUGGUUAAAUCUUGAGGCUCAACCUUAAGACUGNCAAGAAUACCUUUAGACUAGAGGUUGGGAGAGGCAAGCGGAAUUGCCGGUGUAGUAGUAAAAUGCGUUGAUAUCGGCAGGAACACCAAAAGCGAAGGCAGCUUGCUAGAACAUACCUGACGUUGAGGGACGAAAGCGUGGGUAGCGAAUGGGAUUAGAUACCCUGGUANUC
rnacentral:rRNA from 1 species